UACGAAGGGGGCUAGCGUUGUUCGGAAUUACUGGGCGUAAAGCGCACGUAGGCGGGUUGUUAAGUCAGGGGUGAAAUCCUGGAGCUCAACUCCAGAACUGCCUUUGAUACUGAAGAUCUUGAGUCCGGGAGAGGUGAGUGGAACUGCGAGUGUAGAGGUGAAAUUCGUAGAUAUUCGCAAGAACACCAGUGGCGAAGGCGGCUCACUGGCCCGGUACUGACGCUGAGGCACGAAAGCGUGGGGAGCAAACAGG
rnacentral:rRNA from 1 species